ensembl:snRNA U6 U6 spliceosomal RNA
UGCUUCAGCAGCACGUACAUAUUAGAGCAAUACAGAGGAUUUAGCAUGGCCCAUGCACAAGGCUGACAUACAAACUCAUGAAAUGAUGUGUAUUUUU